UUUAUUUGCUGAGAACCAGUACUAAGAAAACCAGUAUCAGGUACAUAGAGUCCUGUAACUCCAUCCCGUACAUGCCAGUGUCUGAUAACAUCUCUUGCAUGCCGCUGGCUCACAACACAUUGAGCCUUUUGCCCUUGUAUUCUUCUUCAAAGAGAAAGUCUAAAGCAGCUGUAAAAUGAUCUACAAGCAGCAUUAAAAAAUCUCUGCAGAACUGAAAUUUCUAAAUAAACCAGAAUGUCUGCCUUCUUUAAGAAACAGACUUAACUGGAAACAGAUGGCCUGAACACUAAGGAAUGUGGCAGGCCAUGAAGUCAGGGGAGGAAAGGUUUAUUUCUUCCUUUUGAGAAGUCUCAUCAGCACUUUCACAAUGAUUUCCACUUUGAAACAUACUUUUAUUAUUACUACUGUUUUCUUCUUGAAUAUUGAAAUGUAUAUUUGCACAUGUGCACGAGCUGAAUAUGAGAUAAAUGGAGAAUGCUGUCCCAUGUGUCCACCAGGAAGCUGUGUUUUUAGACAUUGCACUGAAUUCACCAGCACAACAUGCAAACACUGUGUUGGUUUAACUUACACGGAUGAACCCAAUGGCCUUGCAAGCUGCAUCAGCUGUACAGUGUGUGAUGCUGGACAGGGAUUAAGAGUAAAAGCGGCCUGUACACAGACUUCAGAUACAGUUUGUGAGCCGCUGGAGGGAUUUUACUGUACUGAUAAAUAUAGAGGCAGCUGCAUAUAUUCAGUGGAACAUACAAAAUGUAGCCCUGGACAAUACAUAAAGCAGAAAGGAACAGCAUUAAAAGAUGCUGAAUGUGCAGAGUGUUCAGAUGGGACCUACUCCAAUGGCUCCCUUCUGGUUUGUAAACCACAUUCAACAUGUGAAGAUUUUGCACUUACAAAAAUAAAACCAGGAACAAAAUCUUUGGAUACUGAAUGUGGAAAAACACCUCCAGUAGCUCUAAUAACCGGAGCCUUAUUAGGGCUUACUGCAGUUGUGGCAGUAGCUGGAGCAUUGUUUUUUAUAAAAAGAUGUCACACAUGCCCUCCUAGAGCUGAUUCUGCUGAUUCUGCGGAGUUCCAUAGAAACAUGCAUGUAAGUAAUAUUCUAGGGGAAUUGGUAACUCAGGGGAAGUGGUAGCUCAGUGUUUAAUGUUUUGGUCUGCUGACUGGAAGUUUGAGAUUUUGAACCACAUGACCACCAAGCUGCCACUCCUGAUCCCCCGAGCAAGGCCCUUCUCUCUCUCAAUUUUUCAGUUGUAUUAUUGAGAUACUUGUAAGUUGGCUAAGCUCUGGAUAAGGGCGAAUACCAAAUGCUGAAAAAGAUUAUAUGAAAACUACAAAGAAAAGUCCACCAACACUGAUAAUAGAAGACAGAGUGGUUCUGUGUGCCUUUAAUCACACUGGACAUGUGGCUUCUCCAGAUAAAAAUGACUGUGAAAAACAACCAUGUGACCCACA